CCUACGGGUGGCUGCAGUGAGGAAUAUUGGUCAAUGGACGGAAGUCUGAACCAGCCAUGCCGCGUGCAGGAUGACGGCUCUAUGAGUUGUAAACUGCUUUUGUACUAGGGUAAACACCCCUACGUGUAGGGGUUUGCAAGUAUCAUACGAAUAAGGAUCGGCUAACUCCGUGCCAGCAGCCGCGGUAAUACGGAGGAUCCAAGCGUUAUCCGGAUUUAUUGGGUUUAAAGGGUGCGUAGGCGGUUUGAUAAGUUAGAGGUGAAAUGCCGGUGCUCAACACCGGAACUGCCUCUAAUACUGUUGGACUAGAGAGUAGUUGCGGUAGGCGGAAUGUAUGGUGUAGCGGUGAAAUGCUUAGAGAUCAUACAGAACACCGAUUGCGAAGGCAGCUUACCAAACUAUAUCUGACGUUGAGGCACGAAAGCGUGGGUAGCAAACAGGAUUAGAUACCCGAGUAGUC
rnacentral:rRNA from 1 species